AGGUGAUAUUUAGCCGUCGUCGUCGUGUUUCCUGGUAAUAAUAGUGACUAACAUUAGGUUUCUUUUCCAUAUGAAAUGAAGAGUGAAUUCCUGAUAGUGAUAGCCAUUGCUGCUGAAAUGGUCUGAGACAUCCCAGCUGCUUUGCAUAGCUAACAAGCCUGGUGGUGUCUCAACAUAAGGAUGCAUUUUGAGUUGACGUCCACUGCGGCAAUGUCUUCUUGCAUUCCGGUCUCGACUGCCAUGAGUUUCCAGAUCUAGAACUCUCUCCACAUCUUUCCCUAGAGCUACAAUUCCUGCAAAAUCUUGCCUGUCAAUAGUGUACUCAAAUCAUCAUUUAGACUCGACCUCUGCUCACGUUAGAUUAGAGCAGAUACAGUCGACUUAGUUUUCAGAGGUGCAGACUUUUCAUGAAGAGGAAAUGUCACAGCUCUGUCUGUCUGGCUUCACCCAUCAGACUUAGGAGAAUGAGGGACUGCUCCUUGGAAGAGAAUUCAUAGGAUCAGAUUCCUCUCAAUCUUUCAUUUACAUACAUGGUUUUCCUGAUCAGCCCAUGUUUUAAAUGUUUAAGUAUCACAUCCCCUCAUCUCUGGUAGGCCUAUACAGCCAUAUUUCCUACUAGAAAGACCUUAAUGGUUUCAUCUUCCCGCAAUCGUCCUGUACAAGUUCGUAGGAAAGAUAGGGCAAGAUAAGGCCCCUAUCAUUUAGUCCUGUUUGGAGUACUCUUCUAAAAAUCUGCUCUUACCCUCUGGGUCUCUUUGUUCCAGUCUCAACUGCCACGACAAUUUCCAAAUCUCUCGCCCCACACCUGUGCCUAGAGCUAUGGCUCUUGUGAUAUCUUGUCUGUCAAUAGUGUACUACGAUCAGCAACUUCUCCCGUUCCAUUUUUACUCUCUCUCAUCUGAGCAUGGACAUGUCAAAGAAAUGUUGUCAAAAGCCUUCAUCUUUGUCUGUAUGCACACUCUUCUCCCAUCAGACAGAGUAUUAGGACUUCAACAUUGCUCCUUGGAUGAGAAUUUUAUAGGAUAAUCUCUAAUCCUACAAAUCUUACACGUACAUGAUUUUGACAUUGAAGUAAAAAGGCCUAACCAGCCACAUUUCCUUCAAGAACAACUUUAGUGGUUGCAUUUCCCCCGCAUCAUCCUGUUAAAAUUCCCAGGAAAUAUCAAGGCUCUUUAUCAUGAUAAAGUAGUGUGUGAAGAAAUCUUCUAAAAUCAGCUCCUAUCCUCUGUCAUGUUCCAGUCUAGACUGCCAUGCCAGUUUCCAGAUAUAGCUCUUCCCACAUUUUUGCCUAGACAUAUGAUUCCUGUGUCAUCUUGUCUGUCAACAGUAUACUCUGAUCAGCAUUCUGGGUUGACCCACAGUGGUGACUUUUGCUCAACCUUCAGACUUUGAGUAGAUACAGACAUCUUUUUCUGAGGGAGGUACAGAUAUGUUGUGGAGAGGAAAUGUCACAGGCCUCCAUCUCUAUCUUCACCUUCUUCUGCCUCGCCUUCUCUCAUACAGGAGAUUAGAGACUUCUUUGCUGCUCCUUGGAUAAGAAUUCAUAGGACCAUCUUAGAAUCCUCCUCUUUAUCAUUGGUCUUGUUAUCUUCCUCAAUCAUCAGGCUAUGUAAGUUCUACUUUUGCUCAGUGUUUCUGGUGUUGAAGUAUUACGUCCAGUCACCUCUCUGCCUAUAGUACGCCUAUCCAGCCAGAUUUCCUCCUAUCAAGCCCUUGUGUAGAGAACUAGUCUAAAAAUCAGCUCCUACCCUCUGCGCCACCAAGCAGUUCUCCCUUGCACAUGGACAUGUACAUGCACCUGGUACAAGAACAGGUUUUGGUAAAUGUACAAGUUGUUUAUUCAUGAUAACCUGUGUAUAUUCAAAACACAACAUAACUAUUAAAAUUUGCCAUUUAAAAUAGUUGAAGCUUCAGUAUGGAUGGCUCUUUGUGAACUCUCAGCCUUUAAAAAAAUGUUGCUGGGACUGUGUAUUCAGUAGCUGUGUGUGCUUUGCUUAAUUUAACAAUUUCAUACACUGAACCUUGAACAAAAUUAGCUUGUGCACCUUGUGAAUGAGAAGUUCAUUAAUCAUAAUUACUACUAUUAACUUUUGUUUCCAUAAUUUCUCCUUAAAGUAUCGUGAAAUCAAACUGAAGAAUUUACCUGGGCUACACGUUAAACAAUAUCCAUUUGAGCUAACUGUUGAGCUUAAAAGUUUCUACCAGCCAUUUGAAAUAACGUGAUGUUCAGCUAAUUCUUCCUAGUGCAGCUGCAAAUACAUAUAUGGAUGGACUGCAAGAAAAGGUUUUACUUAAUAGACUGCAGAAAAUGGGAGACCUUCCUCACGAGAUUUCAAUAAACACUGAAUACUCUCUUCACUAAUGAAUCCAACAUCUGAUAAGAUCAGCCUGUAGAAAGAAAAGGCAUUACACAAUUAUUACACUAACUAUAUUGUGGCAAUACGUAAUCAUCUGAAAACUAGUAUUUUUCACAUGAACUCAAUCACAUUACUGAAGAAUCCCUAAUUUGUCUUCAGCUCUGUUAUUAAGUCCAGUAGCAUUGUCAGGUGGAAACCACUGCUAGUAGCAACUACAGUUCUCAAUGUCAAUAUAAAAGAGCAGGGGGGACCAUAAUCGUACUGAAGAGAGCAGGAGGGACCAUAAUCGUACUGAAGAAGAGGAGGGACCAUAAUCGUACUGAAGAGAGCAGGAGGGACCAUAAUCGUACUGAAGAGAGCAGGAGGGACCAUAAUCGUACUGAAGAGAGCAGGAGGGACCAUAAUCGUACUGAAGAGAGCAGGAGGGACCAUA